AACGCAAAUUGCACUCUCUUUUGGGGGAGUAUGCCUGUUUGAGGGUCAGCCUAAAUAAAAUCGGCUUCGUUGCUGUUUUCGCGGUAAUGUUUGUCGGAUAUUGGGUUAUCUUAAACUUUUUGGUUUAAGUGACUUAAAAUUUUAUCUUAAACGACUCUACGAACGUUUCUAAGAUAAUAAUCUUUUACGUUCAAGGUAUCGAAACACUUAUUAGACGUGACCGUUACAUCGGAUUUCGUCCAUAAUUUUUUCUUUACUGACAUUAAACAGGUAAGAGUACCCGCUGAACUUAA
rnacentral:misc_RNA from 1 species